UCCGUAGGUGAACCUGCGGAAGGAUCAUUACUGAAUUGUCAAACGGGUUGUUGCUGGCCCUCAUAGGGGGCAUGUGCACGCUCUGUUUACACAUCCACUCACACCUGUGCACCCUCUGUAGUUCUAUGGUCUGGGGGACCCUGUCUUCCUUCUGUGGUUCUACGUCUCUACACACACACUGUAAUAAAGUUUUAUGGAAUGUACAUCGCGUCUAACGCAAUACAAUACAACUUUCAGCAACGGAUCUCUUGGCUCUCGCAUCGAUGAAGAACGCAGCGAAAUGCGAUAAGUAAUGUGAAUUGCAGAAUUCAGUGAAUCAUCGAAUCUUUGAACGCACCUUGCGCCCCUUGGCUAUUCCGAGGGGCAUGCCUGUUUGAGUAUCAUGAACACCUCAACUCUCAUGGUUUGCCAUGAUGAGUUGGACUCUGGGGGUUUUGCUGGCCUGUGGUCGGCUCCUCUCAAAUUAAUCAGCCUCCCAGUGUUUGGUGGCAUCACGGGUGUGAUAAAUAUCUACGCUCGCUGUUGUCUGCCAGGUAACCUUUGGUCACAAAGGUUUGCUGGAGCUCACAGAUGUCUCUCCUCAGCGAGGACAGCUUUUUUAACGUUCGAUCUCAAAUCAGGUAGGACUACCCGCUGAACUUAAGCAUAUCAAUAAGCGGAGGAA
rnacentral:rRNA from 1 species